GAGUGGCGAACUGGUGAGUAACACGUGGGAAACCUGCCCAGAAGCGGGGGAUAACACCUGGAAACAGAUGCUAAUACCGCAUAACAACUUGGACCGCAUGGUCCGAGUUUGAAAGAUGGCUUCGGCUAUCACUUUUGGAUGGUCCCGCGGCGUAUUAGCUAGAUGGUGGGGUAACGGCUCACCAUGGCAAUGAUACGUAGCCGACCUGAGAGGGUAAUCGGCCACAUUGGGACUGAGACACGGCCCAAACUCCUACGGGAGGCAGCAGUAGGGAAUCUUCCACAAUGGACGAAAGUCUGAUGGAGCAACGCCGCGUGAGUGAAGAAGGGUUUCGGCUCGUAAAACUCUGUUGUUAAAGAAGAACAUAUCUGAGAGUAACUGUUCAGGUAUUGACGGUAUUUAACCAGAAAGCCACGGCUAACUACGUGCCAGCAGCCGCGGUAAUACGUAGGUGGCAAGCGUUGUCCGGAUUUAUUGGGCGUAAAGCGAGCGCAGGCGGUUUUUUAAGUCUGAUGUGAAAGCCUUCGGCUCAACCGAAGAAGUGCAUCGGAAACUGGGAAACUUGAGUGCAGAAGAGGACAGUGGAACUCCAUGUGUAGCGGUGAAAUGCGUAGAUAUAUGGAAGAACACCAGUGGCGAAGGCGGCUGUCUGGUCUGUAACUGACGCUGAGGCUCGAAAGUAUGGGUAGCAAACAGGAUUAGAUACCCUGGUAGUCCAUACCGUAAACGAUGAAUGCUAAGUGUUGGAGGGUUUCCGCCCUUCAGUGCUGCAGCUAACGCAUUAAGCAUUCCGCCUGGGGAGUACGGCCGCAAGGCUGAAACUCAAAGGAAUUGACGGGGGCCCGCACAAGCGGUGGAGCAUGUGGUUUAAUUCGAAGCUACGCGAAGAACCUUACCAGGUCUUGACAUACUAUGCAAAUCUAAGAGAUUAGACGUUCCCUUCGGGGACAUGGAUACAGGUGGUGCAUGGUUGUCGUCAGCUCGUGUCGUGAGAUGUUGGGUUAAGUCCCGCAACGAGCGCAACCCUUAUUAUCAGUUGCCAGCAUUAAGUUGGGCACUCUGGUGAGACUGCCGGUGACAAACCGGAGGAAGGUGGGGAUGACGUCAAAUCAUCAUGCCCCUUAUGACCUGGGCUACACACGUGCUACAAUGGAUGGUACAACGAGUUGCGAACUCGCGAGAGUAAGCUAAUCUCUUAAAGCCAUUCUCAGUUCGGAUUGUAGGCUGCAACUCGCCUACAUGAAGUCGGAAUCGCUAGUAAUCGCGGAUCAGCAUGCCGCGGUGAAUACGUUCCCGGGCCUUGUACACACCGCCCGUCACACCAUGAGAGUUUGUAACACCCAAAGUCGGUGGGGUAACCUUUUAGGAACCAGCCGCCUAAGGUGGGACAGAUGAUUAGGGUGAAGUCGUAACAAGGUAGCCGUAGGAGAACCUGCGGUUGGAUCACC
rnacentral:rRNA from 1 species